rnacentral:tRNA from 1 species
UCUCUGGCAGUCCAGUGGUCAGGACUCUGUACUUUCAUUACUGGGGUCAUGGGUUCAAUCCCUAGUCAGGGAA